UAGUGCAGGGAAUGUACAAUUGCCUACUGGAAGCUUUGCUCAGAUCAGUCAUACUGGGAAUUACCCAUUGUCAAGAGGUGAUCUUCUUAGAGAUGUCCUAUGUGUGCCAUUUUUUAGAUUCAACCUUAUGUCUGUUUCCAAGGUGACCAAGGACCUAAAUUAUUCUGUUACAUUUUACCCUAAACACUGUGUAUUUCAGGAUCUUUGCACUAGAAAAGCGAAGGUGAUUGGUAGAGAGAAGGAUGGAUUAUACAUACUGAAUGCACACAACAGUGGUGAUUUCAUAAAUAAGGGGAAGUCCAUGACAGUAACUAGACCAUCUCACCCUAAUCUUUGGCAUAG
rnacentral:lncRNA from 1 species